rnacentral:rRNA from 1 species
GACGAACGCUGGCGGCGUGCCUAAUACAUGCAAGUAGAACGCUGAAGGAGGAGCUUGCUCUUCUGGAUGAGUUGCGAACGGGUGAGUAACGCGUAGGUAACCUGCCUGGUAGCGGGGGAUAACUAUUGGAAACGAUAGCUAAUACCGCAUAACAGUAGAUGUUGCAUGACAUUUACUUAAAAGGUGCAAUUGCAUCACUACCAGAUGGACCUGCGUUGUAUUAGCUAGUUGGUGGGGUAACGGCUCACCAAGGCGACGAUACAUAGCCGACCUGAGAGGGUGAUCGGCCACACUGGGACUGAGACACGGCCCAGACUCCUACGGGAGGCAGCAGUAGGGAAUCUUCGGCAAUGGACGGAAGUCUGACCGAGCAACGCCGCGUGAGUGAAGAAGGGUUUCGGAUCGUAAAGCUCGGUUGUAAGAGAAGAACGAGUGUGAGAGUGGAAAGUUCACACUGUGACGGUAUCUUACCAGAAAGGGACGGCUAACUACGUG